rnacentral:misc_RNA from 1 species
CAAAAGAGCAACACUGAAGAAAGUGAGAAGACUACUGCUGCAUUUGUCAAAGUUUGCAUGGAUGGUGCACCUUACCUACGUAAGGUUGAUUUGAAAAUGUACAAAAGUUACCAAGAACUUUCUGAUGCUUUGGCUAAGAUGUUUAGCUCCUUUACUAAUGGAAAUUAUGGGUCCCAAGGAAUGAUAGAUUUUAUGAAUGAGAGCAAAUUGAUGGAUCUCCUUAACAGUUCUGAAUAUGUACCAACCUAUGAAGAUAAAGAUGGAG